rnacentral:rRNA from 1 species
UACAGAGGUCCCAAGCGUUGUUCGGAUUCACUGGGCGUAAAGGGUGCGUAGGUGGUGAGGUAAGUCGGAUGUGAAAGCUCGGAGCUCAACUCCGAAAUGGCAUUGGAAACUACCUUGCUUGAGGAAUGGAGGGGGGACUGGAAUUCUCGGUGUAGCAGUGAAAUGCGUAGAUAUCAGGAGGAACACCGGUGGCGAAGGCGGGUCUCUGGGCAAUAACUGACGCUGAGGAGCGAAAGCGUGGGGAGCGAACAGG